rnacentral:tRNA from 1 species
GGCCUCGUAGCUCAGUUAGGAUAGAGCACAGGUUUCCUAAACCUGGUGUCGUGCGUUCGAGUCGCACCGGGGCCA